GAACGUAUAAAAAGGAGAAAAGUCCUGGCCACAGACGCAGCAAGUUGCUGCAAAAUCCCAGCCAUGUUCGCCAGUAAGGGAGCAGGAAUCUGUCCAUCUAGAGGUGCAUUUGCUGCUUUUGAAAGGAGGACGUUUCACUUGGAUUCGAUCUGGUUGAGCAGAUCUGUCUGCUGCACUCACCUGGUCCCUGCCCGCCAGGUGCAUGCUGGGUAGGGGCACCACAGCUCUUCAUGAGCCAAAAAGCAGCACUAAUGGCAAGAGAACUUUGCCGUCACCAACAGGGACACAAGGGACUUUUAAUACCACCAUCACCCGUCCUUUAUUCUUUCAGUCCCUUCCAUUCCCUUGCUUCAGGGUUUUCUACAUUGCUGGACACAGAGGUUCACAGACAGCCUACGCUGCUGAUGUGAAAACCGAGGGAAUUAGCUGCAAACCUCCUCCGCCCACAGAACAAGGACACGAUGAACACGGCAAAUGGAUCUCCACAUGGUAAGUGUAAGAGGAAGGAAAACAUUCACAGCGGCUCAUGAGGGGACGGGAUUGAACUGUGACGGAGACACUGACACGACACGCAGAUGGGACAAUCUCUCGAGGGGCUUGCUCAUGUUCUGAGUCACCAAUCUGCUGCAGUCUCCCCUCCCGGCGGAGCAUCAGAUAUCGAAGCAGACUGCAACACUAUCCACCUGAAGCACUGCUGAGACAGCAGCCACCUCCACCAAACACUCCAGCACCCCACUCCCUUUCUCUGACGCCUCCAUCAAUAUCUGCACAAAAACAAAGCACAGGAAACUCUCCUUACAGAGAGGAAGCCACCUGUGAUCAUUAAUUUUUUCACGUGUUAAUAGUUUAGCAGAAUGUGGAGAAGCCUUGGAUCUAAAUCUGUGGUCU
ensembl:lncRNA